rnacentral:other from 1 species
CGGACCCUGCAGUGUUCGUGAUAAGUCUUUUUAAACCCACAUUUAUAAAAAGGGACGCCGUUCUCUCGGUGUGAAUUGCAGGCCUCCCCUUGUGGACGUUGGAAGCAGAGAAGCAGCGAGGAGGCGACCCACCUGCCAAGCGGUGCAGGUUAUAAAUGGACUUACACGGCAUUUGCGGGGAUUAC